rnacentral:lncRNA from 1 species
GCCCAUUACUCCGACAGCCCACUAUUCCGACAGCCCAUUACUCCGACAGCCCACUAUUCCGACAACCCAUUACGCCGACAGCCCUUUAUUCGGACAAUGCAUUUUUGUCAUGUGUAUGAGUAAUUUUUUUCUAUAAAAGACCAACUCCGUUCUCUGUAAUAUUUGUGGUUGUCCGUUUUGAUCCCAAUUAUUCUUUCCAUGCGGGAUAUAAGUCUCAGUACAUUGGAGUUGAUACACAUGCUUAUUGCAACUGCUCAGUCCUUACCCUGGUCCCGCUUUCGUUUUACGUGUCUGGGUAUUUUAUUUUUCUUUACAUUUCAUCGUUUGUGUGUCCACUCUCAGUCUGUGCUGUUCUAGUUCGCUGAGUGUUUUGUGUGUGUCUUGAUCUACCUUCUUUCACUAGAUCGUCGGUUACCCCCUUUUGCGUAUCAGGGGAGUGAGGUUUCAUCACUAUUAACUACAUAACGAAAUAUAUCGGAGUUGGAUAACACUACCCACCCUCUUUGGUCGCAACACUUUCUACCCCUUGUAUCACUCAUCUGAGUUUUAUUUAAAUUAAUUUUGUCGCAGAAAUAAGAAACUAAUGAAGCGUCAGUCAAAUUGAGAAAAACAAAGAGACAAAUACAUACCCAGAUCCUUAAAAAUAAGAUGACAACUAGGACGAAAUAUGUGCUCAGAAAAGAUAAGCAAU